rnacentral:tRNA from 1 species
GUGGUAGUAGUGUAGUGGUUAAGGAGCUGGGCUAGCAAGCCUGAAGUUGUGGGUUCAAUUCCUGUCUUCCACC